rnacentral:rRNA from 1 species
ACGGGUGCGUAACACGUGGGCGACCUACCCCAAAGUGGGGAACAACGGACCGAAAGGUUCGCUAAUACCGCAUUAGCUCAGCCCUUCAUUGGGUCGAGUAAAGCCGCAAGGCGCUUUGGGAGGGGCCCGCGGCCCAUCAGGUAGUUGGUGAGGUAAUGGCCCACCAAGCCGAUGACGGGUAGCUGGUCUGAGAGGACGAUCAGCCACACUGGCACUGAGAUACGGGCCAGACUCCUACGGGAGGCAGCAGUGAGGAAUAUUGCGCAAUGGGGGAAACCCUGACGCAGCGACGCCGCGUGGGCGACGAAGGCCUUCGGGUCGUAAAGCCCUUUUGGCAGAGACGAGUGAGGACGGUACCUGCCGAAUAAGUCUCGGCUAACUACGUGCCAGCAGCCGCGGUAAAACGUAGGAGGCGAGCGUUAUCCGGAUUCACUGGGCGUAAAGCGCGCGUAGGCGGUUGGGUAAGUCGGACGUGAAAGCCCCUGGCUCAACUGGGGGAGGCCGUUCGAUACUGCCCGGCUUGAGGGUGAGAGAGGGAAGUGGAAUUCCCGGUGUAGCGGUGGAAUGCGUAGA